AAGUCCCUACGGUGUUCGAUAGUGACAUUAGUUUCUUGACCCGAUAAGCAUUUAUGCACAGGAACUGAUUAACAACGGGAGCGCAAACCUGUCUUGAAUGGGCAGCCCGAAGUUGUAAAGAUGUUCCGACUUGAACCAAAGAUGGUUCAAGAACACCGCUCACACCGGCACUGUGGGGCAAUU
rnacentral:other from 1 species